rnacentral:rRNA from 1 species
UACGUAGGGCGCAAGCGUUAUCCGGAAUUAUUGGGCGUAAAGAGCUCGUAGGCGGUCUGUCACGUCGGCUGUGAAAACCCGAGGCUCAACCUCGGGCCUGCAGUCGAUACGGGCAAACUAGAGUACUGCAGGGGAGACUGGAAUUUCUGGUGUAGCGGUGAAAUGCGCAGAUAUCAGGAGGAACACCGGUGGCGAAGGCGGUUCUCUGGGCAUUACCUGACGCUGAGGAGCGAAAGUGUGGGGAGCGAACAGG